rnacentral:tRNA from 1 species
GUCCGGUUAGCUCAGUUGGUUAGAGCGUGGUGCUGAUAACACCAAGGUUGUGGGUUCGAUCCAUGCUUGGUC